GUUGAGAGCUUUCACCCAACUGGAUUCAGUACCUACCUGGCCAUGCCUCCCUCCUAAGAGAAUACUGAGAGCUGAGAGGACACUCAGAGACUGCAGCAGUGCUAGCAAUGGGGAGACACCUACCACGCGGCUUCAUACACCCUUCUUUCAAGGACAAAGUCUUUUUUCCAGCUGACUGGGGUCUUGGGACAACAUGGAAAUAUGAAGAACUGGUAUCUCAUCAGAAAACUGACAUCGUUCACUAUACACAUCAGCUGUGGGCUUUGAAAUGGAAGCCAAGAGGAAAUCUUUCCAUUUCUUGAUGUAUGCCCUUUAAAAUGGAACCUACUGAAGACCCCCCAGUGGAAAUCCAACAGGGUAGGUCUGGCAGUUAAUAGAGAUUAGAAGUGCCUGCUCAUGACUCAACCACUCUGAGAGUUUAUCACUGCAAGACGGGUUGGUGGUUUUGACCAUUAUACCAUUUUACAUGGAUUUUUUUUCUUACUCAUACAUUCAUUUCACUUAUAUCCAUAGGUCAUCAUUGGUUAAAGUUAUGGAUCAUAAGGAAUAUUCAAGCUAAAUAUAUUAAUGAGAAGCAUAAAAGUGAUCACUCAGAAAAUUCACCUGAGGAUUAUCUUUAAAAAUAAUAAUUGUGAGGGGCUGGCCCCUUGGCCGAGUGGUUAAGUUUGCGCGCUCCGCUGCAGGCGGCCCAGUGUUUCGUUGGUUCGAAUCCUGGGCGCGGACAUGGCACUGCUCAUCAAACCACGCUGAGGCAGCGUCCCACAUGCCACAACUAGAAGAACCCACAACGAAGAAUAUACAACUAUGUACUGGGGGGCUUUGGGAAGAAAAAGGAAAAAAAUAAUAAUUGUGAAAAUUUUAAAUUUACAAAAAAGUAGAGAAAAGUUAUAAAAUUAUGUAUCAAAUACCAUGUAUACUAAGUAUUCACCAUGCCAUAUUUGUCAUAAUUUUUUCUUAUCUCUUUUUUUUAAGGUAAUAACAUUUGUGGAUGCAAUCAGAAACUCACUCCCAUCCUUUCUUCUUCCUUACUUCCUCCUUCCUCAGAAGUAACCACUCUCUUGAGUGUGUGUGUAUUAUUCCUUUGUAUGUUUAUACAUUAGUACGUGUUCAUAUUCAUAAAUAUAUAAUUUUUAAAAAUUUAAAUAUGCAUCCUAUUUUUGAAAUUCAUCCAUUUUGAUUGUCAAAAAGAUCCCAAUCUAAUAAAUACUCUGUAGCACAUCA
rnacentral:lncRNA from 1 species